rnacentral:rRNA from 1 species
CCUACGGGAGGCAGCAGUGAGGAAUAUUGGUCAAUGGCCGGAAGGCUGAACCAGCCAAGUCGCGUGAGGGACGACUGCCCUAUGGGUUGUAAACCUCUUUUAUAAGGGAAGAAUAAAUGCUACGUGUAGCAUGAUUCCUGUACCUUAUGAAUAAGCAUCGGCUAACUCCGUUCCAGCAGCCGCGGUAAUACGGAGGAUGCGAGCGUUAUCCGGUUUUAUGGGGUUUAAAGGGUGCGUAGGCGGUUUUUUAAGUUAGUGGUUAAACGUCGGGGCUUCACCUUGAUUUGCCAUUAAUACUGUAAGACGCGAGUUCAGACGAGGUAGGCGGAAUAAGUGAAGUAGCGGUGAAAUGCUUAGAUAUAACUUAGAACUCCGAUAGCGAAGGCAGCUUACCAGACUGCGACUGACGCUGAAGCACGAGAGCGUGGGUAGCGAACAGGAUUAGAUACCCGAGUAGUC